rnacentral:rRNA from 1 species
UACGAAGGGGGCUAGCGUUGUUCGGAAUCACUGGGCGUAAAGGGCGCGUAGGCGGCCAUAUAAGUCGGGGGUGAAAGCCUGUGGCUCAACCACAGAAUUGCCUUCGAUACUGUAUGGCUCGAGACCGGAAGAGGUAAGUGGAACUGCGAGUGUAGAGGUGAAAUUCGUAGAUAUUCGCAAGAACACCAGUGGCGAAGGCGGCGCACUGGCCCGAUACUGACGCUGAGGCACGAAAGCGUGGGGAGCAAACAGG